GGACCCGGAGUCGGUUGGUAAGAUGCUUCCUUUACACGGAAGAGACACGGAGUUCGAUUCUCCGCGGGUCCA
rnacentral:tRNA from 4 species